GCGCGAGACCUGCUGCAGACAAAAUAAUGCAUCGUCAAGGCUGCCCGAGGCCGGGCUGCUAUAAAGGCGGCCCCCGGCCCCGCGUCCACACUGCAGCCGCGACUCCCAGGCAUCGCUACUCCCCCUCCACGUCACACCAUGAAGGCUUUCGUCUGCUCUUUCCUCGUAGUGCUGCUGGUGGCGGCCGUGUUCGCCCAGGAGAAGGCCAAGGAGACCCUGAAGGGCGCCGAGGCCUACUACGCCUACGCCGCCCCCUACGCCGCCCCCUACGCCUACAGCGCCUUCGGCUACCCCGCCGUCAGCGCCUACUCCGCCUACCCCUACGCUGCCGCCGGCUACCCCUACUACUACCGCUGAACACGGACACGACUUCUACGAGGAUGCAGUUCUUACUUCAGUGACUUCUGUACUCUCUUCCUUCCUUCAAUAAAUACAUCUGUAUCACAAAACA